CUGCAAUGAACAUCAUGGCCUGGUUCCCCUUCCUUCUGGCCCUCACUUAUUGCUCAGGUUCUGUUGCCGAGUAUGUGCUUACACAACCCCCAUCUGCCUCCAUGUCUCCAGGGCAAACUGUGCAACUCACUUGCUCAGGGGAUAAGUUUGAUAGGUACUAUGUGCACUGGUACCAGCAGAGACAUGGCAGUGCCCCUCAACUGGUUAUAUAUAAGGACAGCAUAAGACCUGCCAAUAUUUCAGACCGCUUUUCUGGAGAGAGCUCUGGCGGCACGGCCACCUUAACCAUCACUGAUGUCCAACAGCAAGAUGAGGCUGACUAUUACUGCCAAGUCUGGGACACAGAUGCUAGCCAGCAAGCACAGUGGCCCCAUCAAAGGAGGAAGUGAGGCAAAAACCUCCUGCUGUCAAAGAGAAAUGUUUAUGUUUGAUAGCUGAGUGCAACAGAAAUACUGUUUCCACUCGCAGCUCCCAGUGACUUGCACUGAGUGGUAUAUUGCCUCUGAUAACGGAGGUAGAAUUUAGCUGUCAUUUUUGUAGCCAUUAAGAGCC